rnacentral:rRNA from 1 species
GACGAACGCUGGCGGCGUGCUUAACACAUGCAAGUCGAACGGUAAGGCCCUUCGGGGUACACGAGUGGCGAACGGGUGAGUAACACGUGGGUGAUCUGCCCUUCACUUCGGGAUAAGCCUGGGAAACUGGGUCUAAUACCGGAUAGGACCACUGCCUGCAUGGGUGGUGGUGGAAAGCUUUUGCGGUGUGGGAUGGGCCCGCGGCCUAUCAGCUUGUUGUUGGGGUGAUGGCCUACCAAGGCGACGACGGGUAGCCGGCCUGAGAGGGUGACCGGCCACACUGGGACUGAGAUACGGCCCAGACUCCUACGGGAGGCAGCAGUGGGGAAUAUUGCACAAUGGGCGCAAGCCUGAUGCAGCGACGCCGCGUGAGGGAUGACGGCCUUCGGGUUGUAAACCUGUUUCAGCACCGACGAAGCGCAAGUGACGGUAGGUGCAGAAGAAGGACCGGCCAACUACGUGCCAGCCGCCGCCGUAA